UCUGUUGUACCAGACACCAGACCUUGAGAAUAUGCUGAUCUGGAAUGGCUCUGUGCCUCAUUUGAACCAUCAAAUAGAAUCCCUGCUCCUAGCUUGCGCCUUUUUCCCUAUAUAAGGACGCCUUUCCCUUGGGGCGGGCGCGCUUAGCCACACAGAAGCUAAGUCGCCCCAGGUACCUGCGUCUCCAAUAAAGCCUCUUGUUUUUUACAUCCAGUUCGUGGCCUCGCUGAUUCCUGGGUGUGUGGGUCUCCCUCUACGAAAGUGCCUCUUCGGGGUCUUUCAUUUGGGGGCUCGGUCCGGGAUCGAGACCCGCCCAGGGACCACCGACCCACGUCUGGGAGACAGACUGCCAGAUCCUGACAAUGACCCGAAGAUUACAGGCACCUCAGUUCCUGCACCUGGACCAAUGAGCAGAUGCUCAGAUAUGAAACCUGCCGCCUGCCAGAACCUGGCCGAGACUGUGGACAAAGCUGCUGGACGCUGGAAAAUUGAUUGUACCCCUUUGCCUAGACAAAACAAGGUCAGUCUUUUCCAUGUCCCUCUUCCACAGAGAGAAAAUAAAACCUCUCACAGAUAGGCCUGGCGAAGAUUGUUGUUCUUUGAGACAGCUGCCUCCAACGACAUCUGAGUACCAGUUGCUGACUUCAGACUGUUCUAAGUAGACUGCGAACCCUAGACUUGCUAUGGAUGUGAACUAGUCUGCUGAUAUGGACACCCCCUAUCUCUGCAACAGUGUCUGCUAACCAGAAGCCCCUGAUGGAUUCCCCGUUGCCUAAAUUCCUUUUUGCUUUUGACUAGCAUUUCAACCUUCUGGGGUCCCUAACUUCGUCCCAAAGUCAGCAGGAAGCAGUUUGGAAA
rnacentral:lncRNA from 1 species